rnacentral:lncRNA from 1 species
UUCGACCAGUCUUUUGAGUUGAAAUAUGUUGAUCCGUGGAAGCAACAGCUGGGUCUUAUGGCUCUUUUCACUCUGUCUUAUCUGUUGAGUAACAAAGGACUUGAAUUUCCAAGGACUUUUUUUUUUUUUCAGCCUUAGCAAGAAAAGAAAGAAAAAAAAUCAGGAAAAGAAGGCUUUUGGGAACAUACGCCAUUUGUUAUUUUGAGCAAGUAGGUCUUCUUUAGAAGUCUUCCAAGAAGGUAAAGAUGACUUUCCAAAAGAAGGAAAAUUACUUAGCAUCUUCCACAUUUCAGGGAUGUAGCAGAAUUUGAUGAAGAGCAAAAGAUGUCUUUGCCGGGAGAGUCCAUCUUUAGGUCUACUGAUACAUCAGCAAAGCCUGGGAAACCUCAUGUUUUGGUCAGCUAUUGCCGCAACGGUGCUGCAUAACAAGCUCCACGACUACAGGGCUGAACAGCACAGAGUCUCUUCUUACAUUGAUGGGUGUGUAGGUUGAAUGUUACUUGGCUGAGUGAGCCUGAACUCCAGGCUGCAGACUGAAUUCCGGUUUGUCCAUGUGUCUCUCCUCUUCCUCGGGCCUGUGGUUGCCCAGAGCGUAUGGUUCGAUCUAGGUUAUCUUAUUCUGGGGCCAAGGUUGAAAGGGCUGCCACUUACACUGGGGGCAUAUCAAUCUCAUGACAGAUCACCAAGGCACAAAAGCUCAAUUAUACAAGUUCGUUUCUUGCCUAGUCACAUUCCCUAAUGUCUCAUUGAUUAAAGCAAGUCACAUGUCAGAGCAUAAAAUCAAGAGCUAAAAUUAUACAUUCUGCUCACCAUAAAGAGAGGCAGGGUUUGGCUGUAUGAUUCUCUUACAGGGGAGGAAACAGUUGGGGCCACUAAUUAAAUCUACCACCUUCAGCUUAAAAUAAGAUUCACCAUCUCUAGGAAAAUUGAGCUAU